UCUGGGCUUUAGAAACAAGUUUCUGGCUGAAGCGAAACUACAGUGUAACCCACUGGCUGUCAUUUCACGUGGACCCAUGGAGCAAGAAGUCGUUGACUCAUCACCUUCUAUCACCCCAAGAGCUACAGAUCAAAGAUUUAUCAACUGAGUCCUUGUAAGCCCUCUGCCAAGACCACCAGAAAACCUCUUCUAGUACAGAUAAAAGAAGAGGAUUUCUAGAAUGGACUCAACUAGAAUGCUGUGGGACCUGACCAAUAAAGUGUCAACUUCUGAAACACCUCAUUAUGAAAAUGGCAACAAAAUAGAGCAUAUGCCAGGGUAAAAUGUCCCCUGGGUUCAGCCACUGAGACACAGAGUGGACACAGAACAUCUGAGGCCUUCUAGUAAGAUACUUUCCUUUGCACUCACUCUCCUUUGUCCUGGACUUCCGUUUUUGAACUGCCAAGACAAGAACCUGAGAAGACUCCAGUGUCUGAGGCUCACAGUGGAGCUACAGCACUGGCAGGAUCUGCCUAUGGCUGAGCUGCACCACAGAGCAGGCAUGUCUGCUGCUGAGAUGCAACACAACGCAGGUGUUGCCUGCUACAGGGUUGCAGCACUAGGGGCAUCUUUGCUGGCCCUGGAGCCAGAAGGAACAUGACAUCAGAAGGAAGACAUGCACAUGCAACUUUAGCAAGGUUACAUACACAAGACACAUCUGUAUCCAUUUAAAUUUAUUCCCUCCAUCAUAUUUCAUAGUUUUCACAAACUAUGCAGAUGGUGGUCAUGUUUUGUUAAAUUUCUAUAUAAGAGUUUCAGUUUUUUUAACUUUAUAAACAUACUUCAAUUGUUUUGCUAUUAAAAUCUUAAAGUUUAAAUUGCUUAUUAUAAAUGUAUCAAAAGGAAAUUGCCUAAAUACUGGCCUUGUAUAUGUAAUAUUGCUAAAUUCUUUUAUUAAAUACAGUAUGCUAUGCUUC